GUAGGUGGCAAGCGUUAUCCGGAAUUAUUGGGCGUAAAGCGCGCGCAGGUGGUUCUUUAAGUCUGAUGUGAAAGCCCCCGGCUCAACCGGGGAGGGUCAUUGGAAACUGGGGAACUUGAGUGCAGGAGAGGAAAGUGGAAUUCCACGUGUAGCGGUGAAAUGCGUAGAUAUGUGGAGGAACACCAGCGGCGAGGGCGACUUUCUGGCCUGUAACUGACACUGAGGCGCGAAAGCGUGGGGAGCAAACAGGGAUUAGAUACCCUGGUAGUCCACGCCGUAAACGAUGAGUGCUAAGUGUUGGGGGGGUUUCCCGCCCCUCAGUGCUGCAGCUAACGCAUUAAGCACUCCGCCUGGGGAGUACGGUCGCAAGACUG
rnacentral:rRNA from 1 species